GACGGAGGGCGCAAGCGUUGUUCGGAAUUACUGGGCGUAAAGCGCGUGUAGGCGGUCCAAUAAGUCGAGCGUGAAAGACCAGGGCUUAACCUUGGCAGUGCGUUUGAAACUGUUGGGCUUGAGUACGGGAGAGGGAAGCGGAAUUCCCGGUGUAGAGGUGAAAUUCGUAGAUAUCGGGAGGAACACCAGUGGCGAAGGCGGCUUCCUGGACCGAUACUGACGCUGAGACGCGAAAGCGUGGGGAGCAAACAGG
rnacentral:rRNA from 1 species